AGAGUUUGAUCCUGGCUCAGGAUGAACCUUUGCGGUGUGCCUAAUACAUGCAAGUCGAACGGUGACUAUUUUGUAGCAAUACGAAUGAAAUCAUAGUGGCGAACGGGUGAGUAACGCGUUGGUGAUCUGCCUCGAAGUGUGGAAUAACUUCCCGAAAGGGUAGCUAAUACCGCAUACUCUCUCAAGGUUUAGAAAAUUGAGAGUAAAGGAUUUAUUCGCUUCGAGAGGAGCCUGCGUCCCAUCGGCUAGUUGGUAGGGUAAUAGCCUACCAAGGCAAUGACGGGUAGGGGACCUGAGAGGGUGGCCCCCCACAAUGGAACUGAAACACGGUCCAUACACCUACGGGUGGCAGCAGUAGGGAAUAUUAGAAAUGGGCGAAAGCCUGAUCUAGCAACACCGCGUGUGCGAUGAAGGCCUUCGGGUUGUAAAGCACUUUUUGGAGGGAAUAGGAAGGAAGGUACCUCCAGAAUAAGUCUCGGCUAACUACGUGCCAGCAGCCGCGGUAACACGUAGGAGGCAAACGUUAUCCGGAUUCACUGGGCGUAAAGCGCGUGUAGGUGGUUCUGUAAGUAGGGCGUGAAAGCUCCCGGCUCAGCUGGGAGAGGCCGUACUACACUGCAGAGCUAGAGGAUGGUAGAGGGAGGUGGAAUUCCAGGUGUAGUGGUGAAAAUGCACAGAUAUCUGGAGGAACACCAGUGGCGAAGGCGGCCUCCUGGACCAUUCCUGACACUCAGACGCGAAAGCUAGGGUAGCAAACGGAAUUAGAGACUCCGGUAGUCCUAGCCCUAAACGAUGCAGACUAGGCGUCGGCGGUUUAAUCACCGUCGGUGUCCAAGCUAACGCGAUAAGUCUGCCGCCUGAGGACUACGGCCGCAAGGCUAAAACUCAAAGGAAUUGACGGGUCCCCGCACAAGCAGCGGAGCGUGUGGUUUAAUUCGAUGCUCCGCGAAGAACCUUACCUGGGUUUGACAUAACAGUGGUAGAGAAGUGAAAACGGAUCGACCCUUCGGGGAGCUGUUACAGGUGUUGCAUGCCUGUCGUCAGCUCGUGUCGUGAGAUGUUCGGUUAAGUCCGCUAACGAGCGCAACCCGCGCUGUGUGUUACAAGUGUCACACAGUACCGCCGGUAUUAAGUCGGAGGAAGGUGCGGAUGACGUCAAGUCAGCAUGACCUUUAUAUCCAGGGCUACACACACGCUACAAUGGUCAGAACAAUAGGUUGCCAAGCCGCAAGGCGGAGCCAAUCCUCCAAAUCUGGCCUCAGUUCAGAUUGCAGGCUGCAACUCGCCUGCAUGAAGUCGGAGUUGCUAGUAACCGCAGGUCAGCAUACUGCGGUGAAUACGUUCCCGGGGAUUGUACUCACCGCCCGUCA
rnacentral:rRNA from 1 species